rnacentral:rRNA from 1 species
AUUGAACGCUGGCGGCAGGCCUAACACAUGCAAGUCGAACGAGUGGCGGACGGGUGAGUAAUGUCUGGGAAUCUGCCCGAUGGAGGGGGAUAACUACUGGAAACGGUAGCUACUACCGCAUACCAUCGGAUGAGCCCAGAUGGGAUUAGCUAGUUGGUGGGGUAACGGCUCACCUAGACGACGAUGCCUAGCUGGUCUUAGCGGAUGACCAGCCACACUGGAACUGAGAAACGGUCCAGACUCCUACGGGAGGCAGCAGUGGGGAAUAUUGCACAAUGGGCGCAAGCCGGAUGCAGCCAUGCAGCGUGGAUGAAGCAGGCCUUCGGGUUGUAAAGUACUUUCAGCGAGGAGGCGUUACUCGCAGAAGAAGCACCGGCUAACUCCGUGCCAGCAGCCGCGGUAAUUC